rnacentral:rRNA from 1 species
CACGUAGGGUGCGAGCGUUGUCCGGAAUUAUUGGGCGUAAAGAGCUCGUAGGCGGUGUGUCGCGUCGGCCGUGAAAACCUGCAGCUUAACUGUGGGCUUGCGGUCGAUACGGGCAUCACUGGAGUUCGGCAGGGGAGACUGGAAUUCCUGGUGUAGCGGUGAAAUGCGCAGAUAUCAGGAGGAACACCGGUGGCGAAGGCGGGUCUCUGGGGCCGAUGACUGACGCUGAGGAGCGAAAGCGUGGGGAGCGAACGG